rnacentral:rRNA from 1 species
AGUGAACGCUGGCGGUAGGCCUAACACAUGCAAGUCGAACGGCAGCACAGUAAGAGCUUGCUCUUACGGGUGGCGAGUGGCGGACGGGUGAGGAAUACAUCGGAAUCUACUUUUUCGUGGGGGAUAACGUAGGGAAACUUACGCUAAUACCGCAUACGACCUACGGGUGAAAGCAGGGGAUCUUCGGACCUUGCGCGAUUGAAUGAGCCGAUGUCGGAUUAGCUAGUUGGCGGGGUAAAGGCCCACCAAGGCGACGAUCCGUAGCUGGUCUGAGAGGAUGAUCCGCCACACUGGAACUGAGACACGGUCCCGACUCCUACGGGAGGCAGCAGUGGGGAAUAUUGGACAAUGGGCGCAAGCCUGAUCCAGCCAUACCGCGUGGGUGAAGAAGGCCUUCGGGUUGUAAAGCCCUUUUGUUGAGAAAGAAAAGCAGCAGGUUAAUCCCCCGCUGUUCUGACGGUACCCAAAGAAUAAGCACCGGCUAACUUCGUG